CAUCGCCGCGGUAAUACGUAGGUGGCAAGCGUUGUCCGAAAUUAUUGGGCGUAAAGGGCUCGCAGGCGGUUUCUUAAGUCUGAUGUGAAAGCCCCCGGCUCAACCGGGGAGGGUCAUUGGAAACUGGGAAACUUGAGUGCAGAAGAGGAGAGUGGAAUUCCACGUGUAGCGGUGAAAUGCGUAGAGAUGUGGAGGAACACCAGUGGCGAAGGCGACUCUCUGGUCUGUAACUGACGCUGAGGAGCGAAAGCGUGGGGAGCGAACAGGAUUAGAUACCCCCGUAGUCCCUGUCUCUUAUACA
rnacentral:rRNA from 1 species